CCGCGCUAGACGGGGAGCUAGCGGUGCCCUGAACUCGCAAUCCGCUAUAGCGAGGUUUAAUCCCUCCCGGAGGCCCCAUCAUUGGGCCAAUGUUUUGAGAUUAAGAUAUAGAAGGUUGGGUCCCACGCGGCGUAGGCUUGUCAACCCCGCCAGGUCCGGAAGGAAGCAACGGUCAACGAGAUACUACGGGUGCCGUGGGAGCACCUGGCUGGAGUCAUGAUUUCUGACACGCCCAGUUGCUGGCGUCGAAGGUAGGUGCGCGG
rnacentral:SRP_RNA from 1 species